GCGGGCGCGGGACGGCACCCGCCGGGUCCCGCGGCUCCUGAGGGGGAGGCGGCCGUGCCCCGCCGCCCACCGGCUCCCUUCUGAGCCCUCCCCCUCGCUCCGCGGGUCCGCCGUUCCCGCCUUCCUCCUCACGGAACGCGGCCCCUCCGCUCCCGCCUUCCCCCUCACGGAACGCGGCGCCGGCGGCUCCGAGCCGUGAAGGGGGGAGCGGGGCUCCCUAAGUGAAAGCGCCUAAAACACAGCGCGCAGACCACGGGCUCGACUGUGCCUCCCCCCCACCUCCGCCUUUUAACCUAGACAACAUCUUUAAUUUAAACAGAAAUUAAUCUCCGGCCCAGAUAGGCCGGGAUUUGGCUCACCUGCGGCGCCCGUCGCCUGGACCCGGAGGAGGUGCCGGCUGUCUGGAAAACAAGGGAUGAGAAAACCGAGGGAUUUUCUGCAGGCUUGAUGUAACCCGCAGCAGGCUGUUGCAUCAAAGACUAGAAAAAGAACCCGAGACAAAAAUAAUCUUUUAAGAGCAUGCAGCUAAGAUUAGUGCAGCGUCUCAAGAUGUUGCUGAGCGCAACAGAACGAGUCCUGCCUUUACCCACACAGAAAUAAAUACUACUUUUCUGCCACCUUGUCCACUGCAACCCUGAGUUUCCAGAUUUUAUACCAAAGUGCUGAUUAGGGAUACGUUCUAACCAUACAAUUUUGAGUUUGAAUUCAGUCUUACCUAAGUUCUGGAUGUUUGGCUUAAGGGUUUAGAUGUGGUUCAUUAUAAAAGACAUAAAAUUCAUAUGAAGUUCUGAAUUUGUAAAUAUUGUGAAUUUAUCAAAACUGAACUGUACAUGCUCAGAUAUAUUCAGACCUAUUCUCUUGGUUUACCUCAUCCCUCUGAAAAUCUGACCAAAUAGGAGAAUAUAAAAGCCAGAAAGUAUAAAAUAACACCAUUUUUCUCCACGUGUUUUUAUUAAUUAAAUUGUUUAUAGCAGAAAUGCUGCUCCUCGUGCCCCCCAUGUGGGAAAUGUGGUGGCUGACACAAUUCCGUGUCUACCUGGGCAGGAGCACCCAUGUGCAAGCCUGCACAUGCAGGCACAGCUCUGCGCUGCCAGCGUUGAUAUUUGGGAACUAAGUCUGUCCUGUUUUUUUCUCAACAGGCAGCAAACCGAGUAAGGAAUGUGUCAGGGACUACAAGAACAUUCCCAUUCCUUGUGUUUCUACGUGAAAUGCAUUUCUAGCCACACCCAUAAAGAACUUGUCUCUCCUGACAGGACACAGUGGGCACCGAUUUGCUUCCUCAAGAUUUCAGAGUGUGCAUCUGAGGACUUAGGCUGCGCAUCGUAAAGUUUCCUUCGGCAACUGCUAAAAUUAUUCACAAGGCACUGCAGCGUGGCAGCAGCUAUCAGCUUUGGAAUGGUUUGCAUCUAGUUGGAGAACACUUCAUGCAGGAAAAAAAGAGAAGAAAUGGCAGUCUUGUGUUUCUAUUUGCAAGCUGGAUUGGUCACUCCUCUGUUAUUAGCUAGAGAGUCACAGCUUUGGAAUGUGCCCUUCUAUUAUUACAAAUACUGGCUGCAUUAGAUUGGGUCCUAACUGCUCAUCCAUCGAUUGGGUUAGGUAAGAGUGCCUGUGUUUAAAGCCUCAGCAAGUGCUGAGAAACCAGCAAAACAGAGGAACAACAUUACAUCUCAUGCGCUGCCACUUCCAUGGGGGAGUUUAGAGCAGACGAACACCUUCUUAUCCAUAACCAAGAGCUGAGAAAGGAUAGGAGAGAAGACACAAACCAAAUCACCUUGCAAGAGAUUGCAACAGUUGUGACAAAAUCGGACUUAGCCAUGUAUGGUAGAUCCUAUGGCUCUGACACAAUGAGAUGAAAAGGGGCUCAAAGUAACAACAAGAAAGAGGAAGACACUACUCCAGAGUUAUAUGGAUGCUGUUUUGCCAGAAAAAUAAAUGUGAAGAUGACUUCUAAUAUUUGAAGGAAUCUUGUUGCCACUCAAAAUACAGAAACAUCUGUCAUAUGAACUGUCCUAGUGAGAUCAUAAAAGCAGAGACAGAGUGAUCAAAGAAGAAAAUGCAGGACUCUUACUCCAUUCCUAAUGAAAGCUGUUUCUUUUUUUAGGACCUUUUUAGGACCAUGAGCCUACCUGGCACAGAGAUAUUCUCAUAGUCUACAAAUACAGUUGCUGAGUACCUGAGGUGACU